CUCUGACAUUGGAGGACUCCUCGGCUACGUCCUGGACUCCUGCACAAGAGGACUCCUGCCCUGCCACACCCUGGACACCUGCACUAGAGAACCCUGCCCCGUCGCCCCCUAGACUAUGGCACGGGAGGACCCUUGCCACCGACUUCGGCACGGUAAGACCCCUGACCCGCCUUGCACUGGAUUCCAGCACUGGAGGACCCCCUGCCACGGCGCUCUCUGGACUACCCCUGCGCCACCGCGUCCUGCACUACAGCACAGCAGGACCGCCGUCCCACCGCGCACUGGACUGAGGCACAGCAGGACCACCACUCCCACAUGCCCUGGACCACUGCAGGACAGGUCCCCCACUCCGCCGCGCCCUGGAAUAUGGCACUGGAGGACCCCCGUCCUGCCGCUCCGCGGACUCCACCACCGAAGACCCUCGCCCCCCUGCGCCCUGGACAAAGGCACGGGAGGACCCGGCUUCACCGACCCGUGGGCUAUCGCAUAGGAAAACCCCCACCUCCACCCCCACCCCGCGCCAGAGACUCUGACAAGAGAGGACCCCUGCCCCCUGCUCCCCGGACUACAGCAAGGCAGGAACCACCUUCCUCCAAGAUCCUCACUAUGGCAACUGUGGACCCCCGCCCUGGUACGCCCUGGACUAAGUCACCAAAGGACCCCGACCCCACAACGCCGUGAACUCCAGCAUUGGAGGACCAUUGCCUUACUGCGGACUCAAGCACUGGACUAUCGCAGGGCAGGAUCCCUGUCCCGCCAUGCCCUACACUAUGGCACGGGAGGACCCAGCCUCACUGUGCUCUGGACUCCAGCACCGGAGGACUCCUACACGGAGGACUCCGGCUCUGCCACGUCCUGGACUCCUGAACAAGAGAACCCCCGCCCCGCUGCACCUUGGAUAUAGCAAGGCAGGAAUCCCGCCCUGUCGCGCUCUGGACUGUGGCACCUGAGGAUCCACGCCCCAGCGCGCCCUGGACUACUGCUCCGCAGGACUCCUGUUCCACCGCACCCUGGACUAUGGCACCAGAGGACCCAGCUCCCCGCGACCGGGACUAAGGCACCAGAGGACCCAGCCCCCUGGCGUCUUGGACUAUGGCGCCAGAGGACCCAGCCCCUCGCAUCCUGGACUAUGGCACCAGAGGACCCAGCCUCCCUGCGUCAUGGACUAUGGCACCAGAGGACCCAGCCCCUCGCGCCCUGGACUAUGGCAGCAGAGGACCCAGCCCCUCGCAUCCUGGACUAUGGCAGCAGAGGACCCAGCCUCCCUGCGUCAUGGACUAAGGCACCAGAGGACCCAGCCCCCUCGGGCCCUGGACUAUGGCAGCAGAGGACCCAGCCCCUCGCAUCCUGGACUAUGGCACCAGAGGACCCAGCCUCCCUGCGUCAUGGACUAUGGCACCAGAGGACCCAGCCCCUCGCGCCCUGGACUAUGGCAGCAGAGGACCCAGCCCCCUGGCGUCCUGGACUAAGGCACAGUAGGACCCCGCAGCAUCGUGUACUCCUGCACAGGAGGACCCUCGCAGGGCUGCGUCCUGGACUGAGCUACUGAAGGAGCCUCACCCCUGCCUCACCCUGGACUAAGGCACUGGAGAACUCUUGCUCUGCAGAGCCGCGGACUCUUGCAGGAGAGAACCUGCGCCCAGCCGUGCCCUGGACUGUGGCACAGCAGGGCCCACACCGCGCCAUGGACUCCUGUACUGGAGGAAGAGUAGUGACAAAUGUCCAGGUUUACAAGUUGAAAAGUAGCAAUCAAUGUGUUACAAUGGAUGGAUUUGAUGUAAAAUUACAAAUGCUGAAAACAUUAUGUGUAAUUGCCUAGCCAGAUCAAUUACACAAGAC
rnacentral:lncRNA from 1 species